CCGUCUGUGGAAAGAUCUAUCAACUGUCGCUCUGCUUGCUACUGUUUAUGUGCGCUAACCUAUAAAUUUAUAAUACGCGUAAAACGCCGUUGAUUUUGUCAUAAAAUUUAUCUUCUCAAAAUUUGUUUGUGCAUUAUACACUGAUCAUUAAUCAUUUACCAAAGGACACAUAGAAAUGAUGAGAUAAAUAACCUUUUUGGCAUCUAAAAAAAAUUCUUAUUCAAGAGAAGAGUGGCCAUGACUGGAACUAGAGCUAUUGAUAAAAACACCCAAAUUAGAUAAAAUGGCAGCCUUGCCAAAGAGGACAUAUGGAUGUAUCUGUAAAAUAAUUCGUGUCAAUAAUUUCCAAGAAAUCCCACUAGUUCAAAAAACAUAGUUUCGAGAAAAAUAAUUUCAAAAUUUUAAAUACACUUUUUUAUAGCAUAUAAUUUAUAACUUCGUCAAAUUAUCAAAUAUCACUUGAGCAAUGUAUUUUAAAGACUUCAAAUAUUAAGAACAUAUAUUGUAUCGUUUAUAUGAGAUGUGCAUUCUUAACUUUCCUCAAUCAUUUUACCUUUACUAAUCUCGAAACUAGUAUAAAGUUUUUAUUAAUAAACAGAAAAGCUGAAAUUAAAAAGCAAAGAUUUUUAAGGAGCUUAACACUUAGAGAAUUCCGCAUCCAUCAUCACCAUCGUGAUAACAAAAAAAAAGGAAUGAAUUUAAAAGCAAAUAAGAAGUACUGUCGCGCGUUGCCGUUAUACGCACGGAAGAAAAUGCAGCCACCUGAAGCCUUCGACUUUUCAGCAAACGUAUUUUUAAAGAGAGGGUAUUGCAUUUCGCCACCCUCUCCCUUCUCUUACAUAUACACACGUACAUCCGAGUAGAGUAAUGCUUCGGUACUCGUGGCCCGAGCAAAAUCUCAGCCCGCAGGAAUGACAAUAGACUGUCAGAUAAUGAAUCCCCACUGUCACCCCCCCUCCCUGUACCAUCGCGCGUCCUAAAACCCUCAAUCCACCGUGUUCCCUUUCGACAUUCUCCUCUAUCCGCUCGCCUCCCAUGCCACCCUCGUUUCUCCUUUCCCUCCUACGCUUAUCUUCUCUGCAACAGCGAUGGAUUCGAGAAAAUCGCGUUUUAUCCCAAAGAACAACUUUUUACUUUCAGUAAAGUGAAAACGCAACUGUCCCGUUGUGGAGGAUUGUCUACUCUAACAAUUGAUUAUUCUGGAAUAAAAAGAUCAACAUCAAGAAUUAA